AAUAGAUACCCGGGUAGUCCACGCCGUAAACGAUGAGUGCUAAGUGUUAGAGGGUUUCCGCCCUUUAGUGCUGCAGCUAACGCAUUAAGCACUCCGCCUGGGGAGUACGGUCGCAAGACUGAAACUCAAAGGAAUUGACGAGGGCCCGCACAAGCGGUGGAGCAUGUGGUUUAAUUCGAAGCAACGCGAAGAACCUUACCAGGUCUUGACAUCCUCUGACAACUCUAGAGAUAGAGCGUUCCCCUUCGGGGGACAGAGUGACAGGUGGUGCAUGGUUGUCGUCAGCUCGUGUCGUGAGAUGUUGGGUUAAGUCCCGCAACGAGCGCAACCCUUGAUCUUAGUUGCCAGCAUUUAGUUGGGGCACUCUAAGGUGACUGCCGGUGACAAACCGGGAGGAAGGUGGGGAUGACGUCAAAUCAUCAUGCCCCCUUAUGACCUGGGCUACACACGUGCUACAAUGGAUGGUACAAAGGGCUGCAAGACCGCGAGGUCAAGCCAAUCCCAUAAAACCAUUCUCAGUUCGGAUUGUAGGU
rnacentral:rRNA from 1 species